GAUUGAACGCUGGCGGCAGGCCUAACACAUGCAAGUCGAGCGGAUGAAGGGAGCUUGCUCCUGGAUUCAGCGGCGGACGGGUGAGUAAUGCCUAGGAAUCUGCCUGGUAGUGGGGGAUAACGUCCGGAAACGGGCGCUAAUACCGCAUACGUCCUGAGGGAGAAAGUGGGGGAUCUUCGGACCUCACGCUAUCAGAUGAGCCUAGGUCGGAUUAGCUAGUUGGUGGGGUAAAGGCCUACCAAGGCGACGAUCCGUAACUGGUCUGAGAGGAUGAUCAGUCACACUGGAACUGAGACACGGUCCAGACUCCUACGGGAGGCAGCAGUGGGGAAUAUUGGACAAUGGGCGAAAGCCUGAUCCAGCCAUGCCGCGUGUGUGAAGAAGGUCUUCGGAUUGUAAAGCACUUUAAGUUGGGAGGAGGGGCAGUAAGUUAAUACCUUGCUGUUUUGACGUUACCAACAGAAUAAGCACCGGCUAACUUCGUG
rnacentral:rRNA from 1 species